GGAGGGAUGGGUGAGCGGCUGAAACCAGCGGUUUGCUAAACCGCCGUAGGGGGUAAACCUCUACCGAGGGUUCGAAUCCCUCUCCCUCCGCCA
rnacentral:tRNA from 1 species